AGGAGGAACAACCGCAGUGGCGGGGCCAGCUCUGCAGCCCUGGAGUCAGCCCCCGCAGUAGCUCCGGAGCUCUCCAUCUGCAGGGCCUGGAGGCUCCGGGGCGGG
rnacentral:pre_miRNA from 1 species